GUAAGAAAUCAAAUCUGAGCAAUACAUCCGAGUCCUUCUUCUACAUGACUGAUUUACUAUUCAUGAUGCUAAUGUGAAUUAAAAUUUUACAAUCCACAAGACUAUCUUGGUGCAGGGGUGGUGGCCAAGUGGUUAAUGUGCUUGGUUUCAGUGCAGAAGGUUCCGGGUUCAAAUCCCACCCCUGCCACAUUUCUCCAUGUAAUGUGGAGUUGCGUCAGGAAGGGCAUCCUGCGUAAAACCUAUGCCAAUUCAACAUGCAGAUCCACCUUGGAUUUGCUGUGGCGACCCCGAGUGCAAACAAGGGAGCAGCCGAAGGGACAUACUUUUACAAGACUAUUUUGGUGUGUAAUUUUUUAUUUUUAUUUUCAUGAAACAAGGGGGGAAAUGGGAGGAAAAUAUUAAAAAGAAUGUAAAUAUGGCCUGAAGUGAAUUACAUCUGUUAAAGUUGUUAUUUAUAAGAGAUGACAGACAAUACAUGUGAAAUUAAAAGGUGAAUUGGAAUACAGAAAACAGGUCACAAAUGACUAAACCACACAGACAUUAACAGUAAGCCUGACUGCUUACUGUAUGAGGAACAUUUCUUCUCAACAUUUUGGGAGUGGUGAAGUAGUACUACCAGCAUAUGGCCUUCGGGUAUUGCCUUUUUCACCACUGGAGUCAACAACAUAUGUGCUACAAGUAAAUACAGCACAGGUAACCAAGAAAAAAAAAGCCAAGAGUUUUCAGCUUGAUGUUCGAUAUGAACAUCAAAUUACUGAAUUGUCUCCAUUAUUUCCUCAUGGUUCAUGAUUGUAAUGCAAAAGUGAUGGUGCCCUGUUGGCGAGGGCAUUCAUCAGUCAAUCAAAAGGCCUGCGCAUCAUUUAAUUGUCCCCAAUUCUCUUCUUUGCGUCAGCCAUAAGUGAUGCAGAAGUGUAGCAGUACACGAGUAAAAACAGACCUGUAACAAACACAGACUUUGUUGGCACAAAUCAGUAUGAACAUGUAUACAUCUCCAACAUUAAUUCAAUAGAUAAACUACCCACCCCUAUGGUGAAGGUAACCCUAACUCAUACCCAUUGAUUACCCCAAUAGAAUACCUUUCCAUCUCCACCAUAAAACUGAAUAAACUACAUUUUCUUAGAUGUACAUGAAAUCCACCAGAGAAGAUUCUUCUGACACUAACUAGACCGCUGAAUCUGUAAAUGAAACUUGUAGCCAAGAGGAAACGAGGCAGGAAAGCGUUAAUUUCAAUAAAUUCCAUUCAUAUAGCACACUGGCUCCCAAAAAACGUAAAAAUUGUGAAAAUAAUUAUUACACGCUAUUUAAAUGUGCAACUUAGGGCUAGAGGAGUAUAACUAUCGAUUUAAGGCCGAUCAUACGCUGCGGUGUAAGGAAGAAAUAGUUU